rnacentral:rRNA from 1 species
CUGGCUCAGGACGAACGCUGGCGGCGUGCCUAACACAUGCAAGUCGAGCGGGGACAGGGCUUCGGUCCUGUCUAGCGGCGGACGGGUGAGUAACGCGUGAACAAUCUGUCCUAAACAGGGGGAUAACACUUGGAAACAGGUGCUAAUACCGCAUAAGCCCACGGCCUGGCAUCAGGCAGGGGGAAAAGGAGCAAUCCGGUAUAGGGUGAGUUCGCGUCCCAUUAGCUAGUUGGCGGGGUAAAGGCCCACCAAGGCGACGAUGGGUAGCCGACCUGAGAGGGUGAUCGGCCACACUGGAACUGAGAAACGGUCCAGACUCCUACGGGAGGCAGCAGUGGGGAAUAUUGGGCAAUGGGGGGAAAAACCCCCUGACCCAGCAACGCCGCGUGAGGGAGGAAGACUUUCGGGUCGUAAACCUCUGUCCCAUGGGAAGAGCAGAAGACGGUACCAUGGGAGGAAGCCCCGGCUAACUACGUGCCAGCCGCCGC